rnacentral:pre_miRNA from 1 species
ACAGCACAUUGUUGAACAGCUGAGUGAUUUAAAGAGAUCAAAUUCCUUUAGCUUUAAGUCAUGCAGCUGUUGAACAAGCUAUUGC